rnacentral:rRNA from 1 species
AUACGUAGGGGGCGAGCGUUGUCCGGAUUUACUGGGCGUAAAGGGUGAGUAGGCGGUUAUAUGUGUCAGAUGUAAAAGGCUAUGGCUUAACCAUGGUUCGCAUUUGAAACUGUAUGACUUGAGUGCAGGAGAGGUAAGUGGAAUUCCUAGUGUAGCGGUGAAAUGCGUAGAUAUUAGGAGGAACACCAGUGGCGAAGGCGACUUACUGGACUGUAACUGACGCUGAGUCACGAAAGCGUGGGUAGCAAACAGGAUUAGAUACCCUGGUAGUCCACGCUGUAAACGAUGAGUGCUAGGUGUUGGCCAGCGAUGGUCAGUGCCGAAGUUAACACAAUAAGCACUCCGCCUGGGGAGUACGGUCGCAAGACUGAAACUCAAAGGAAUUGACGGGG